CCCCGAAGUCCCUCCUCUUCCUCUUCCUCCUCCCCGACCACAAAGCAAAGGGCACCCCUUUCUGGUGGACGUGGGGGCAUCCAGAACUUUUCGGGGGAACCGGCCCCAAGUUCGUCGGAUUCCGCGGAUGUUUCCAGGAGGCUGGUUGAACAUAAAACAAGAUUGGGGUAGGAAAUGAGAGGCUCUUAAGUUUACAAGAAACUGGACAAUGGCUUAUUUCAGUAACAUGGAUGUCAUCAAUGUCACUGCCUUGCCAAUGGUACCAGUGGAUGAGUACCUGACUGUAUCUCUCAAUGCACAGAACAAGGUGAAGAAUGCUGUGAGGAAGACCCUGGAGGACAAUCCACCCUCCUGCCUUAUUGGCUCCAUACACCAGGUGAAUCAAACGAUUGGCGAGCUAGAUCUGAGUCCCAACAGCCUGGCAAUUGAGAGAUUUGAGCUGGAAAAGAAGGCUUUGAGAGAGAAAAGUCGCGGCGGCUUGAGAGACAGAGACAAGACUCAAAGCAGAUCACAGUAUACAUGCAGAGGCUCACAAUCCAGGAAUGUCAAAUCUUUCGUUAGUAGAAGGAAAAUAGCCCAUAAAAACAUGCUGGUGGAGCUGUACCAGUACCCACAAUUUAACAGCGCUGUGCCAAACAGGCUUCCAAACGGGGUGAACUUCUGUGACAUGGUGGGCAAUGUGGUCCGGGCUGAGAGAAACCGCCUGAGUGGCAAGUCUUUCUGUUCAGAUAAAGAAUUAGAGAAAUUCCUCUCUUCUCCUUCUCCAAGAGCCAUGUGGCUGGAUAGCUUCUGGUGGAUCUUUCAUGAGAGGUACCAGCCAAACAAGGAGGUCCAGAAUAAGCUGUUUGACCGGAUAUCCCAAAACUACGCCUCUCUCUUGCUGCAUGAAUUCAAGUCCCACUAUGAAGAGGCUCUCUUAAAAAGGUUGCCGUCGCUUCUAAGUAAAGCCGUGUACACCAGCUUCUGUUGCUGUUUCCCGCAGUCCUGGUUCAACACACAUGAAUUCAAAUCGGACAUCUGUAACACAAUGAGCCUGUGGAUUUCAGGUAUCUACCCUUGCCUGCAGAGCUAUAACAGCUGGGACUAUUCAGAACUGGAUCCAGAGAGAUUCCGGAGAGAAAAAAUAAUUCUUCAGAGAAGAUUGUUAAAGAAAAGAGAGUUCUCUUUGUUCACUUCUAAGAGAUGUAUCUCCCAGAUGUCUAUCCAGAACAAGAAAAUCCAUUGCCUUAAGUCUCCUGGUAUAAGUUCAACCACUGAGAAAGACUCUUUGGCCAAGAAGAGUUUACCAGAUAGCUCACAAACGCAGAAUGUCACCAAAGAGUAUCACGGUCAGACUCUGGUCUUCAGGAAAGCUGCAAAACAAGUCAAGAGGAUAUCACAAGCAAGAGAAUAUGAGAAUAUGCUUCCCAAGCAGUCUUACCCAGCCUGCAAAAGCCCUGAGCUGACUUCAAACUUCUUCAACAUUUAUGGGAAGAGCCCUCUGAUUGUGCACUUCCUCCAGAACUACGCCAGUCUACAGCAGCAUGGCAAAGACGUGUUGAUAGUCAGGAGGGAAAAAACCAAGAGCAUCCCUGAAUCUGUCCUGACCUAUGCCGAGGUCAUCGACCUGACCCUGAGUAACAUGAAGAAGCGGAAGGAAAACUUCCACCAACUGAACCGACUCCACUGGAAUGAAUGGAAAUAUUUUGAUGAGUACCUAAAGGGACUGCAAGAAAACUUCCUCAGGGAUGUGAAGAACGUUGAUCAAAGAGCAUUAGAAAAAAAGAAGGCAAACCACAUGUUCAUCCAACCUUCAAGCUUCCUUGAGGAAUCCUUUGACAAGAAACGUAGAGGAAGUCAUGAGAGGGAGACUGCGUUUCUUUCAAGGAAGGGAAAGGAGGAGAGGGAAAGAGAAGCAAGACAGAAGUUGGACUGGUCUCCCCUGUCACUCUCAGGCACUAACUAAUUCUCUCCCCUAGGACUGGGAAGCUCCUGCAGGAGGCCAGGAGCUUUGAUAUUUCUACCAGAUGAAGAAAUUGACGCACAGAUGUUAAAUAAAUUUCUCCCAAGACGACACAGCUAAUAACUGGCUGAUCUGUACUAUGUAAGCCUGGUUUAGUUGCUACUCAUGCAUGCUGAAACCAUACUUCUAUAAACAAAAUAAAAUCAUAUAUGAAUAUACAGAGCCUGCCAUGUACUGGUUUAGUAUAUUGGUUAAGAGCAUGGAUGCUGAAGCCAGACUGUGAAUCUUGAGCAAGUUACUUAACCUUGUGGUGCCUCAGUUACCUCAUCUGAAAAUAGGGGAAAUAAUAGUUCCUACUUCAAGACAUCCUUGUAACAAGUGAUUAUGUUAAUCUGUGGAAAGGAGGAAGUGCUGUAAAUGUUGGUUGUCCUCAGAUGUUGCCUUUAGCUUCUCCCCUUUGCUUCUGAGAGCUGCUUUCUCUCUAGCACCUUCCACCCCAGCAGAACCACUCACAGUUACCUAAAUAAGCCUCUCUGUUGCCUCUGCCUUUCUGGCAAAUCCUCACUUGCUCUCCCAGCCCCACAUUAAGGGUCACCAUCUCCAUGAGGGUCCCACAGUGAGAGGUCUACCUGUUACUUAACUGCAUGCAUAAGAAGCCUUACCUUACCCUGUGUGGGAUUAUCUGUUUCAAUAUCUAUCUCCUCUACUAGACUCUUGGCUCCUGAAGGGCAGAGAACUGUCUUCAUCUUAUCCAGCAGAGAGCUGGGAUCAGGCCGUGUUUAAUAAAUGUUGGCUAAAUAACCUGUCAGGGACAUGCCUCAGGGCAGUUAUGUGCUGAAGUUGGAGGUCUUUCAAAUUUGGAAAGCUUAGUUCUAAAUCAUUUCUCGUAUUUGAGUUCUUGAAACUCCAAGAAUAUAUAUUCACAGGCACCAAUUUGAAGAAACCCAACUGCAGACAGUGGGAUCAUAGGCCUUUAUUUGAUUAUAAGUCAGUUGUCCACAGAGGGGCAGUAAAGUGUAAUGAUUUAAAAUUCAGGUAAUCCCACUGCCUGGUUUCGUUGUUGUUUUUUGAAUACCAUAAAAUGACACAGAUUUUUAAAAUUUUGUAGAGAAUUGUGGACUCACUGAAGGAUUUGAAAAAUUGGGAAAGCUACUUGACAUAAUUACUAUUUAGUUACUAAUUGAUACAAAACUCUGGCUCCCCAUACUCUAUAUCUAAAAUAGGAAAAUAGGUUUUACAACGCAACUUUUUAAAAUGUAGUCGUUUUAAUAAGUCUUUUAUGGCUUCUGAGUUUUAUGUCAUAUUUUAAAAUAUUUUUUUAUUCUAG